AAACAGGAUGACAGGAUGACACAUCCAGUGCCCAACAAGCUUCAGUCCCUCCUCACCCCAGUGCCUGCAUGAUGGGCCCUUAUACUGAGUGACCAGGGUGACAGAGAUGGAAUGGAAUGAAGGAAGUAUUAUUAUCCCUAUAUUUCAAAUGCAGAAACUAAUACUCUGACUUGAGAAAGUGUUUUUCAAAAGAACACAGGGAAGAAAAUAAUAUCAAGGAGGGUGACAAGCAUUGUCCCUCUGGAGCAGAGGAUUGUGCAUAUUCUGGUAGAAGCCUU